CUACGGGCCGCACCAGUGAGGAAUAUUGCACAAUGGGGGGAACCCUGAUGCAGCAACGCCGCGUGGAGGAUGACGCAUUUCGGUGUGUAAACUCCUUUUAUAUGUCAAGAAAAUGACGGUAGCAUAUGAAUAAGCACCGGCUAACUCCGUGCCAGCGAGCCGCGGUAAUACGGAGGGUGCAAGCGUUACUCGGAAUCACUGGGCGUAAAGGACGCGUAGGCGGGUUGGAAAGUCAGGUGUGAAAUCCUACAGCUUAACUGGAGAACUGCACUUGAAACUUCUAAUCUAGAGUAUGGGAGGGGGAGAUGGAAUUAGUGGUGUAGGGGUAAAAUCCGUAGAUAUCACUAGGAAUACCUAAAGCGAAGGCGAUCUCCUGGAACAUUACUGACGCUAAGGCGUGAAAGCGUGGGGAGCAAACAGGAUUAGAUACCCUUGUAGUC
rnacentral:rRNA from 1 species